AUUGAACGCUAGCGGGAUGCUUUACACAUGCAAGUCGAACGAGUGGCGGACGGGUGAGUAAUAUAUCGGAACGUGCCCAGUAGCGGGGGAUAACUACUCGAAAGGGUAGCUAAUACCGCAUACAAUUGGAGCUGCCGAUAUGGGAUUAGCUAGUUGGUGGGGUAAAGGCUCACCAAGGCAACGAUCCGUAGCUGGUUUGAGAGGAUGACCAGCCUCACUGGAACUGAGACACGGUCCAGACUCCUACGGGAGGCAGCAGUGGGGAAGUGUGAACAAUGGGGGAAAGCCGGAUCCAGCCAUCCCGCGUGUAUGAGAAGGGCUUCGGGGGGUAAAGUACUUUUGGCCGAGAGGCGUUAUCUGCAGAAUAAGCACCGGCUAGCUCCGUGCCAGCAGCCGCGGUAAUUC
rnacentral:rRNA from 1 species